rnacentral:rRNA from 1 species
UGAGUACGAGAUGCUACGGCAUUUAAGCAGUCUAUGUCAUACUUCCAAGAAAAGCUUGCAAUGUCAUAAACAAAUAAUGCCUGUACCAUAACCGACACAGGUGGGUAGGUAGAGUAUACUAAGGGGCGCGAGAUAACUCUCUCUAAGGAACUCGGCAAAAUGACUCCGUAACUUCGGGAGAAGGAGUGCCUUAUUUUAUAAGGUUGCAAUAACAAGAUCCAAGCAACUGUUUACCAAAAACACAGGUCUCCGCUAAGUCGUAAGACGAUGUAUGGGGGCUGACGCCUGCCCAGUGCCAGAAGGUUAAAGAAGUUGGUUAGCAUUAGCGAAGCUGAUAACUGAAGCCCUGGUGAACGGCGGCCGUAACUAUAACGGUCCUAAGGUAGCGAAAUUCCUUGUCGGGUAAGUUCCGACCCGCACGAAAGGCGUAAUGAUUUGGAUACUGUCUCGGAGAGGGGCUCGGUGAAAUAGACUUGUCUGUGAAGAUGCGGACUACCUGCACCUGGACAGAAAGACCCUAUGAAGCUUUACUGUAACUUGAGAUUGAAAUUGACUUUAUUUGCGCAGUAUAGGUGGGAGACAUUGAAAGUAUUCUUGCGGGAAUAUUGGAGUCAUCAGUGAGAUACCACUCUUAUAAUGUUAGAUUUCUAACUUUGUAUCAUUAUCUGGUCAAAGAACAGUUUCAGGCGGGCAGUUUGACUGGGGCGGUCGCCUCCCAAACGGUAACGGAGGCGCACAAAGGUUUCCUCUGAACGUGUAGAAAUCGUAUCUAGAGUGUAAAGGCAUAAGGAAGCUUGACUGUGAGACCUACAAGUCGAGCAGGGACGAAAGUCGGUCUUAGUGAUCUGACGGUGCUGAGUGGAAAGGCCGUCACUCAACGGAUAAAAGUUACUCUAGGAUAACAGGCUGAUCUCCCCCAAGGUUUCACAUCGACGGGGAGGUUUGGCACCUGGAUGUCGGCUCAUCGCAUCCUGGGGCGGUAGUACGUCCCAAGGGUUGGGCUGUUCGCCCAUGAAAGCGGUACGCGAGCUGGGUUCAGAACGUCGUGAGGCAGUUCGGUCCAUAUCCGGUGUAGGCGUUAGAAUAUUGAGAGGAGCCUUCUUUUACGAGAGGACCGAGAAGGACAUACCUCUGGUGUACCAGUUAUCGUGCCAACGGUAAACGCUGGGUAGCUAUGUAUGGAGAGGAUAACCGCUGAAAGCAUCUAAGUGGGAAGCCCACCUCAAGAUGAGUGCUCUCACAGGGUUAACCUGGUAAGGUCACGGGAAGACCACCCGUUAAUAGGCACUAGGUGGAAGUCCAGUAAUGGAUGGAGCCAAGGUGUACUAACAGACCGAGGGCUUGAC